UACGGGGGGGGCAAGCGUUGUUCGGAAUUAUUGGGCGUAAAGAGCUCGUAGGCGGUUUGGCAAGUCGGGUGUGAAAACUCCGGGCUCAACUCGGAGACGCCACUCGAUACUGCUAUGACUCGAGUCCGGUAGGGGAGUGCGGAAUUCCUGGUGUAGCGGUGAAAUGCGCAGAUAUCAGGAGGAACACCGGUGGCGAAGGCGGCACUCUGGGCCGGAACUGACGCUGAGGAGCGAAAGCGUGGGGAGCGAACAGG
rnacentral:rRNA from 1 species